AACAAUCAAAUAUGUACAAUAGAACGUCGAUUGUUGUACAAAACAGAAUUGAAGAAACGUCUAAAUAUCGAGGUUCGUGCAAUAAAGGAAGUGAACAAUUGGAUAAUUCACAGUUACAGUCCACUGUAUACUUCUUAUUAGUUCUUAUGAUGUAUGCUCUUCAUUCGUAUAUUCGUAAUCAAUUAUAACCAAUAUGGAUAUAAGAUAUAUCCUUACUAUGUAUUACCACAUAGAUGUAUAGAACGAAAUUUUCGUGCAAAUGAUCACCGUAGAUUCUUAUGAAAGUAGUUCAGUGUUUUAGAUACAUUUGAUAUUUACAAUAUGCAUAGUCGUUUUAUUGUUCAUGUACAUUUAAUGCUAUAGGAUAUUCAAUGAAAUAUAUGUGUAUGUAUGUACAGUUUCGUUUAAACCCGGGAUCUGGCGCUCCUCAUCGUUCCUUUAUUGUGUCAUUGGAAUUAAAAUAAAUUCGUUUAGGAUUAGUUUUUGAAUGAAUUUACGAAGUGAUGAUGUCAACCGUUUUUGUGUAUUCAACAAAUAGUAAUAAUCAUUCAUUAUUCUUUGGACUUCGGACUCUGGACUGGAUUUUGGACCUGUAUUUACCGGUACUAUUGUUCUCCUUUGUAAAAUUAUAUUUAUGUUAUAAUAGUAAUUUUGAAUAUGUAUUUUACACACUUUCUUGGUUUCUUUAUUUAUUUCGUACAUUAUAAUGGGCUUUAUAAAUUUUUCAAACUAAUGUAAUCUUUAAUACGUUUCGUGCCACCUAUAAGUAUACACCACCGAUAAUAUUCUUGUUUUAAGUUAUAUAAUACAUAUUAUCAUAAUGUGUGCAACUAGUGGUACACGCUAAGUAGAAAUUCGCGUGAAAGUAUUGUACGGAACGUAUGUGUAAUUGUUUUUAAAUUAAUUGAAUUAUCAAAAAUUAUACGUUAGUAAUUACUCUGAAUCUAUUCUUACAUGUAUAUUAUAAACAAUUAUUAUAUAUAUUUGGUGGACUACGUGCAAACAUUAAAAUUAAUUAAAAUAUCAGUGAUAACAAUUUACCAAUUUUGCUAUAAUAAAAAGAUUAAGUAAUCAAUUAAUAGAGAAAGAUGGAUAACAAUAUUUUAGACACAAUAUUAGUGAAUUCUAAGGAAUUACUAUUAAAUGUAACCUCAUUAAUAAUACUCUUCUUGAAUUCGAAUUCAUAUAUAAUUUAUUUAAAGUUCGUGCCGCAUAAUAAAAAUUGUACCCAUUCGAUAAAUCAGCUCAUACAGAAACAUAAAGUUAUCUACGUUUUUCGUAUCACGUAAGCUUGAUGGAUAUAGAAAAUACAUAUUAUGACGUCAAAGAACGAAAGUAAAGAAAUCACAUUUGACAAAUAAUUGUUCGCAAAUAUGUAUUCACUCGUAAAAAUUAAUUAACGCAUAUCCGCUUCCUGAUUAGUCGUCCUUUAGACCUCGCUUUUUUCUAUUUCGGUUCUGAUUGGUUGUUCGAACUCGACACGAUUUCUACGAUAAUUGGCACAUUCUAGAGAACACCAUGCUUUUUAUUCCGCGGGAAACUAUGUGGCAAGAAGUUUACUGUAUGACAGUUUAAAAAUCAGGAAACACAAUGGCAGUCAUAACAUCAGGAAAAAAGCUGAUAGGUACUUUUAUUUCUUAUAGACUUAAAUAAAAAUUACAGAAUUAUUUGUUUUUGAAUGUAAAGGUUUAAACAUUAAGGACAUUUUAGAUUUCAAGCUUCCGCGGUGAUAAGUUGCACUUGCACUUGUAAUUUGAACUUGCACUUUGCGUCGACAUUUCAUAGACAUAACAGUCUACUUCUUCAGGGCAGACCUCUUCGGGUGCAAGUGUAAAAUAGACACGAUUGUUCUCACGAUACCAAUAAUAUGACAUGAGGGACAUGUUGUUAACUUUCGGUUUAACCCAUUAACGAUCAAGCAGUGAAAUAAUGCAUAAAAGUUAGGUAAAUACAAUAUUACUGAAAAAUGUAAAUGGUUCAUGUAUUGUUAAUAUGUGGAAUAAUGAAUACUCUACAGAAGCCCACUGCAUGAAUAAAAGACACAAAAGGAAAUUCCCAUGAUUUAAAAAGGAAUAGUGCAUCAUAUUAUCAUAAAUAUUUAAAUAUCUCGAUGGAAGAAAAAAUAGUUACGGAAAAAAUAUCAAGGAGAGAAAGGAUUAUAAAUGAAAUGAGUUAGAUGAUUACACAAAAUAAAAUAAUUCAAGUAUUGAAAGGUAUAAUGUUAAAAAGUGAUUCAAAUCGAUAGGAGUCGGAUUUACAUACAACAAGAGGAGCUAGCAUCUGAUACAAAGAAAAAUUAGGGAUUACAUUACGCUUUCUCGAACUAUACGUAUGUAAAAGUUUGCCGUAUACUGAUAGCUAUAUUGUAUACAGUUAUAUUAGACGUUCCUAAUGAGAUUCUGUUCUUGUCCGAUUGAAUUGUAUUCCGUUGCUGUCCCGAUUGAAUUGCAACAUCUUGCUAACAGAAGGAGUUCCUUUGAAAAGAUAGACAUAUAAAUUUAAAAAUUAAAAAAUUUACAACAUUAAAAACUCAAUGAAUUAUUUUAGCUGACUUCGCUGGAUGAUGUACCUCAUAUGUAAUUCACCAUUUUUCUUAAGUUAUAAUUAACGAUACUCGCGUAAAAAGAACAUAAUCUAACUAACUAAAUUGUUGUCUUGACCAGUCAUUAAAAUAAAGUACACAUAUACAAUAUAUGUAAUUUGAAUGUGCACAAUAAAACGAAAAUAAGUUUUAUUAAAGAUAGAAAAUUUAUGCGUUAUUUUAAUUAGUAGAUUGUGAGCAAUUUAUGUUUAUAAUUAAGGAAGAAUAUAAAUUUUUAUUAGAGAGCAACGAUAACAUUACAUCUGUGGUAGAGAAAGUGCUCGCGAAUCUACAGCACGUCCCGCUCAGUGAUUUGUGCAUAUGUCAGAGAAAUUACAUAGCAACGAUGUUGAAAGAUAUUUCGCAUUAAUACUAUUCCAGUAGCACACAUUUAAGAUUUCUUGAUUAUUUAAGUUAUUAUUAGCUUUUUUAUAAUAUACCAAAUAAUAUGUUAAAUUGAACUAAGAUUAUUUAAAAAAAGAUAGACUUAUGUGUGCAAGGUUUCGAAUUUUCAAAUUUAAAAAUUGCUUAACUUUCAAAUUUUCAAAGUUCUAAGCCUUUUUACUUCUAAAUUUACAUUGUUUAAGACUACAGAAAGAAAACACGCCUCUCCAGUGGAAGUUCCUCAAGUACACCACGUACAUUCUUAACUUUUUCUAGCAAUAAUCGCUCAAACCUUACAUGGCCCUGGAACAGACGCAUUUCCUUAUACCUGAAACAAUAUAUUCUGUUACAUCGACGUCUUACAGAAUGUUACAAAACGCCGAAGCAUUCAAGCAUAAAAGAAAUGCUGCACUCUCCAUAAUUAAUAACGACAGCAAGGCGCACGAAAACAUUCUUAAAUUAUCGCUAGAACGGAUAGGAAACUAUAGUAGCUGUCUUUUUGCGAGCAACGAGAUUUCACCACAGGCGCGUUACCGAUAAACCAAUGCAACUUCUGGCUACGAGUACUAGGAGAGAAGCGUAAAUGGGACAAGCUCAACGGUCACACAACCGUGACUUUCUAGCCAUGUUGCGUUGUUGAGGCUUUUUGUCGUGUACCCAGUCGCUGUUUGUGCUUCCGCCUACACUGUUGCUUGAAAUAUGUUUUCUAGGGGAAAUUGAGAAACCUGUAUGUAUGAUUUUGGAGCGGUUGUUGUCAUUUAAAUUGGUUGAUACUUCUAAGAAUUUUAUAUUCAUAAAUUUGGUUUGAACAUAGAAAACUUUUACUUUUACAAAUGCUAUGUUUAUAUUCGUAGGUUCGUAUGGAAUUAAAUUUUAGAUAUAUAAUGUGACGACUAUGUAAAUGUUCUAAAGUGUAUCUGAAAUAUUAUGCAGAUAUUCUAAAUUGUGUAAAUUUAUGCAAAAGUGUUAACUCUAAAUUUCUAAAUUAGUAGGUCUCAAAAUAAAAGAUUAUUUUUGCAGUUAACGGAAGAAUCGAUUCAAGAUGGUUCGCGCUGACUGUCUCGUUCCACUAACUCACAAUCAAUUUGAUUGGAUUUCUUCAACUGAAGUCACUUAACGUUUAAGAGAUCAUGUAAUUGACUGGGAUACAUCGUUUAAGCUUAGUUUACAUCCAAACGGUAGAUCAAGUUAAAUCGAACUACGAAAAGAAAUCAGGGAAAGGUGGACAAGAGGAAGACUCAUCGAGGUCGCUGAUCGAGGUCAAGUUUUAGACUACUGUAAUGUCUAAUCAUAGUGCAUGUGGAUGCUGGUGUCGUUUCCUUCUCGUAAAUAUCAUAUCCUGGAGAAGGGGAAAUUCCACGGAGAAGUUAGAAUAUCGGAAUCUCGGGCUCUUUUUUGACUCUUUGAAUUUUUCAAUUUUUUAAAUUUCCAACUUUUCGAAUUUUCAAAAUUUCAAAUUUCCGAAUUCUUAAACUUUCAAAUUUCCAAAUUUCCGAAUUUUGAAGUUUUUCAAUUUCUCAAUUUUCAACUUUUCGAAUUUUUUAAUUUCUAAAAUUAAAAAUCUUUAGCUCAUCGAAUAAAAUAUGCAUUACCCGAUUCGUUAACAUUAAAUUCUCAUAGUCUCCAAAACUUCUAAAACAUUCGUCUUCGACAAAAAUUUCUAAAACUCAUUUUUAAUUUGACUUUUACUAUUUUUAAUUUGACCUAACAUUGAUAUGUGAUAUCGAUGUGUACGAUAAUAACAAUUAUGCAAACUUUACAUGUUCCUACAUUACGAAGUCAUAUUUUACAUCACUGUGAUGUCUAGUACCGUUGUCUUCUUAUAGCAGUCAGUUUCUGGGGAUGGGGAAUUCCAGAGAGAAGUCGAGAGAUUGGAAUCUCGGGCUCUCUUCUGGCGUCUGUUUAGCAGUACCACUCACUCUCUCUUCUUUUUUCUUUUCCUUCUCUUGGCUAUGCUGGUAUACAUAUAUUUUACGUCUUAUCUGAGCAUAAAGGCAAGUUGUUCGAUUCAGAAACCUGUCUGCAACAACAUUCUAAAUUACCACUGGGAACUCCCCUGAUCUAAUUUCGUUUAGACUUAGGAACAACUUAUUGAGACUUACGGAAAUGUAGAAAGAUGCUUUAAUGGGAUAUGGGCAUCUUGAAUGAUGGAUUGAGUUUUUAUAUUGCCUGAACGGAAUUGAAAUUAUAUGGAGAAGAGCUUUUAGUCCAUAUACUAAUUAAACAAUUAAAAAAAAUGAAUAAAAUUGUUACAAAGAGAACAAUGUCUCUUUGACAAAAUUGCUAAAUUUUGAUUUAUAUAUCGAAGAGAUUUGAAUUUUAUUUGAUUUGACUUAAUGAAUUUUGUGGAUUAAAAGAAUUCUUCUUUAUUUGUAUAAUGUCGAAUUUUAUUAGUUGUUAAUAUAAUCAAUUACUUACAUUCUCUAUCGUUGAAAAGAGAAUUGCCAUAAUCUAAUCGCAAUCAAUAAACUAAUGCGUAAAUUUUCAUUGUUUGAUUUAUACAAACAAUGAAAUUACGUAAUAUUAGAUAUGGAUUUUAUCUUUAUUUACCAAUCGAUUUAUCGAUUUAGAGAUUUAUAGAUAAUAAAUAAGAAGUAACUUAUAUAUGUACUACCAUGAAUAUAUUUGACAAUAACAAAUUAAUUGUGAUUUGUUCCUGGCUGUAUU